rnacentral:rRNA from 1 species
UACGGGGGGGGCAAGCGUUGUUCGGAAUUACUGGGCGUAAAGGGCUCGUAGGCGGCCCGCUAAGUCAGACGUGAAAGCCCUCGGCUCAACCGGGGAACGGCGUCUGAGACUGGCGGGCUGGAAUCCGGGAGAGGGAUGCGGAAUUCCAGGUGUAGCGGUGAAAUGCGUAGAUAUCUGGAGGAACACCGGUGGCGAAGGCGGCAUCCUGGACCGGUAUUGACGCUGAGGAGCGAAAGCCAGGGGAGCAAACGGG